rnacentral:tRNA from 1 species
GUUUUGGCUCAGUGGUAGAGCACUCAUCUAGCAAGUGUGAGGCACUGGGUUCGAUCCUCAGCACCACA